rnacentral:rRNA from 1 species
AUACGGAGGGUGCAAGCGUUAAUCGGAAUUACUGGGCGUAAGGCGCACGCAGGCGGUUUGUUAAGUCAGAUGUGAAAGCCCCGGGCUCAACCUGGGAACUGCAUUUGAUACUGGCAGACUAGAGUAUAGGAGAGAGGAGUGGAAUUCCACAUGUAGCGGUGAAAUGCGUAGAGAUGUGGAGGAACAUCAGUGGCGAAGGCGACUUCUUGGCCUAAUACUGACGCUCAGGUGCGAAAGCGUGGGGAGCAAACGGGAUUAGAUACCCCGGUAGUCC